UGGGGAAUAUUGCACAAUGGGCGCAAGCCUGAUGCAGCCAUGCCGCGUGUAUGAAGAAGGCCUUCGGGUUGUAAAGUACUUUCAGCGAGGAGGAAGGCGUUGUGGUUAAUAACCGCAGCGAUUGACGUUACUCGCAGAAGAAGCACCGGCUAACUCCGUGCCAGCAGCCGCGGUAAUACGGAGGGGGCAAGCGUUAAUCGGAAUUACUGGGCGUAAAGCGCACGCAGGCGGUCUGUCAAGUCGGAUGUGAAAGCCCCGGGCUCAACCUGGGAACUGCAUCCGAAACUGGCAGGCUAGAGUCUUGUAGAGGGGGGUAGAAUUCCAGGUGUAGCGGUGAAAUGCGUAGAGAUCUGGAGGAAUACCGGUGGCGAAGGCGGCCCCCUGGACAAAGACUGACGCUCAGGUGCGAAAGCGUGGGGAGCAAACA
rnacentral:rRNA from 1 species